rnacentral:rRNA from 1 species
GAGCGCGAAAGUCCUUCGGGAUGAGUAGAGCGGCGCACGGGUGAGUAACACGUAGGUAACCUGCCCACGGGACCGGGAUAACCUGUCGAAAGACGGGCUAAUACUGGAUAAGACCACGAAGGCCUCGGCCUUUGCGGUAAAAGAUGGCCUCUGCUUGCAUGCUAUCACCCGCGGAUGGGCCUGCGCGCCAUUAGCUAGUUGGUGAGGUAACGGCCCACCAAGGCGAAGAUGGCUAGCUGGUCUGAGAGGAUGGCCAGCCACACUGGGACUGAGACACGGUCCAGACUCCUACGGGAGGCAGCAGUGGGGAAUCUUGCGCAAUGGGCGAAAGCCUGACGCAGCGACGCCGCGUGGGGGAUGAAGCUUUUCGGAGUGUAAACCCCUUUCGACCGGGACGAAUGCCCGCAAGGGAGUGACGGUACCGGUAGAAGAAGCCCCGGCUAACUACGUG